GAUGAACGCUGGCGGCGUGCCUAAUACAUGCAAGUCGAGCGAACAGACGAGGAGCUUGCUCCUCUGACGUUAGCGGCGGACGGGUGAGUAACACGUGGAUAACCUACCUAUAAGACUGGGAUAACUUCGGGAAACCGGAGCUAAUACCGGAUAAUAUAUUGAACCGCAUGGUUCAAUAGUGAAAGACGGUUUUGCUGUCACUUAUAGAUGGAUCCGCGCCGCAUUAGCUAGUUGGUAAGGUAACGGCUUACCAAGGCAACGAUGCGUAGCCGACCUGAGAGGGUGAUCGGCCACACUGGAAGUGAGACACGGUCCAGACUCCUACGGGAGGCAGCAGUAGGGAAUCUUCCGCAAUGGGCGAAAGCCUGACGGAGCAACGCCGCGUGAAGGAUGAAGGUCUUCGGAUCGUAAAACUCUGUUAUUCGGGAAGAACAAAUGUGUAAGUAACUAUGCACGUCUUGACGGUACCUAAUCAGAAAGCCACGGCUAACUCCGUG
rnacentral:rRNA from 1 species